GAUGACUAGUUAUCACCAGCGAUAAUAAUUCCAAAAACUUACUCGUGCGUCAAUACAGAAUUCUUAUAAAUUGACAAAUAUCAAGUUUAAGUUAUAAUACUAUUUGCCAAUGGAAGUACUCGCUAAAGGUAAAAAUAAAGAAGUCAUGUUUUUCUUGGCUUGUGCCUGGAAUAAAGGUGCACGCCUAGGUGCAUAAAGCGUUAGGGUUAGAGCCUGGUGAGCCUUGCCUGAGGCGUGCUUUUAAUAACUAUGCCUUCUCUUUUGGUUUGAUAUGAACACUUUCUUCAUCAACUUUCUCAACCCAUCCCUUAAGGUUUUUCAGAUCUCUUUUGACAA
rnacentral:misc_RNA from 1 species